rnacentral:rRNA from 1 species
CCUACGGGCGGCAGCAGUGGGGAAUAUUGCACAAUGUGGGCAACCCUGAUGCAGCGACGCCGCGUGAGUGAAGAAGUAAUUCGUUAUGUAAAGCUCUAUCAGCAGGGAAGAAAAUGACGGUACCUGCGUAAGAAGCCCCGGCUAACUACGUGCCAGCAGCCGCGGUACUACGUAGGGGGCAAGCGUUAUCCGGAUUUACUGGGUGUAUAGGGAGCGUAGACGGCAGUGCAAGUCUGGAGUGAAAGGCGGGGGCUCAACCCCCGGACUGCUCUGGAAACUGUACGGCUGGAGUGCAGGAGAGGUAAGUGGAAUUGCUAGUGUAGCGGUGAAAUGCGUAGAUAUUAGGAAGAACACCAGUGGCGAAGGCGGCUUACUGGACUGUAACUGACGUUGAGGCUCGAAAGCGUGGGGAGCAAACAGGAUUAGAUACCCCUGUAGUC